CAGUAGCCGCGGUAAUACGUAGGGUGCAAGCGUUAAUCGGAAUUACUGGGCGUAAAGCGUGCGCAGGCGGUUAUAUAAGACAGAUGUGAAAUCCCCGGGCUCAACCUGGGAACUGCAUUUGUGACUGUAUAGCUAGAGUACGGCAUAGGGGGAUGGAAUUCCGCGUGUAGCAGUGAAAUGCGUAGAUAUGCGGAGGAACACCGAUGGCGAAGGCAAUCCCCUGGGCCUGUACUGACGCUCAUGCACGAAAGCGUGGGGAGCAAACAGGAUUAGAUACCCGCGUAGUCCCUGUCUCUUAUCA
rnacentral:rRNA from 1 species